UGACAUUUAUGUGAGGCCUGACAAAAUCAUUUUAAGUAAGGAAAAAGAAUCUGUAGUACUGACGAUUUUAAGAUGACAGUGGCAGUCACAACGGCAAUACUGUAUUUUACACUUGAUUUAUUGUAUUGUAUUAUUAUAUUGUAUUGUAUUUAUCUGUUUGCAUUUACAGUCAGUUUUUGACGGAGAAAGCAGCUUUACAAAUGACCCUGGUUUGGCAGAAAUAUCUCACACGGUUUCAGCCAUCGGUAGUACGCCUGACGUUUCCACAGAAGUUGUCCCAGACAUCUCCACUUCUGAGGCCCAUUCCCUUUCCAGUCAUACCCCUUCCAUGUCCAGUGGUGAUGAAGUUAUAUGGUGUUUUGAUGCACCUUCUAUCACAUGUCCACUUUUGCUGGUGUCAUAACUAUUGAUGAGACUCUCACCCAAGUCCAGUGGAACUCCUGCCAUCUCCACUGGCAACACUCAUGGGUUGUCGGUUGGCCUCAAUGUCAAUGCUAGCGGCAAAAGGCAUGGCAUCUUUGCGAAUAGGACCUCCGGUGGGUCCCAUGGUCCCACUCAACCCAGUGCAUCGGGCAAUAGUUCAUCCAGCACAUCCUACAGCACAUACCUUGACGUAUUUGAUGAAGAAUACCUAUCUGAUGACCCUGAUCUCCAGGAAGCUAUUUCUAGGUCUUUAGAUUCCAACGCAAGUGAGAGGUCAGUAGAAGAUAUUAUAUAAAAAGUGUUGUAUUCCAGGAUAACAACUGAUUUCCUUGCCUGCCUAGAUACAAGUAGCAAAAAGCAAGCUGCAAACUAUUGUUCUUUCUUUAUCUGUUAUCCAGUCAUUUCUGUGGUCAUUUUGUCAACAAUAUUCAAUAGAUCAUUUUUUUUAAUAUCAUGGUUUAAAAACUUCUCUGAAUGGAGGUUACCCGUGCUAUAACAUGCAUUAUAUUUCAUGUGUAUGUAUGGUCCCCUUUACACCUGGUGUCAAAAGUGUUUUUUUUUUGUGAUCAGGUUGCAAUCAGAUAGCACUUGACCACAUACAUUUACACGUGGUAUUUAUGUACGUCUAUGGUGUCCACAUCUGGCUCCAGUUGCUAUCCAAUCAUGAGCCUUCCCAUUGACAGGCAUUUCCAGCAGCAGACUCUUUAAAUGUUUGUUUGUUUUUUUACAACAUGUUUCUGGGUUUGCAUUUACACUUUGUGUUCAAGUGUCCCUUAUUCCUUUACCUCAUUGCAAACAUUUUUGGAAAAUGGGUUUUUAAUCAAUAUUAAUAACAAUGCAUCUGAGGGUGCCGUGGACAAUGGAGGACCUACUCGGGAGUUUUUCCGACUCUGUCUUCUGGAAAUUAAGGACAAAAUUGGCAUCUUUGAGGGUCCACCUGAUGCUAAAGUCCUCACAUGCAACUUCAAAGGUUCAGAGUUGGCAUAAUGUCUCUAGGUGUCCUAGAUACUAUCCAGAGAUACCCUCAACAGAUGAAGUGCCUUUUUUUGAAGGCUGAAAAGAGCUUAACAGCAGCUGAUGUAGAGAAUCUCUUCCGGAUCAUUCACUCUGAAAGAGGGAGUAAUGCAUUCCAAGAAGAGUGCCGUACCCUGGCUUUUUGGCAAGACUACCUUUAGGAUGCUGAAUGUAAGUUUUAAACUGUUUUGGCUGCAUCAUGAUAGUGCAUGACAUUGGAAAAAAAUAAUUUUAAUUGAGACGCUCCACUAUGUAAGACAGUUUAUGUGAAUUAGAAAUACAUUAUUCCGGGCAGCAGGACUGUUUGUCAGCAGUUUGAAUCCAGCUCAGACCAAAUAUUCAGUAUGGCUAGUAGCUGCAGAGGUGCCAGUUCAUCUUUUGGGUACAGCCAAAGUACCCUUGUUGCUCGGGCACUGAACCCCCAACUGCUCGGGGACCAUCCUUUGCAAGUGGUGCUCACUGCAGAGCCAGUGGACAUGCAGAAAGGUGGAGCUUCACCUACUCCAGCUCUAUUUCUCUGGACCUAUUUAUAGGGUUUUGGUAAGAAUAUUGGGGUAAGCCAAUCAGAGACAGAGUGAGGACAUGCCUUCAGGUCCAGGGAGGUGGAGCUGGACUAGGUCAUUGGCUCUUCAUUUUGGCUACCAUAAUCCAUAAUCAUAUCUGGGUUGUAAUGGCUUCUUGUGCAUCCAGCAAAAUAUGAGCAGAAUUAGCCUGUAUUUAUUAUGGUCCUCAUCAAUUGUAGCCUAUGCCCCGAGGAGGUUCAGCCCAUCUUGAAGAUUUAUUUUAACUCGGACCAAUUCUAUUGGGUGUUAUUUCAGGCUAGUCGGGUGUUUCUGAACCUGCUUAUCCUCUGCCUUUCUUUUAUAAUGGUGUCCUGAUUGUUUAUGCCAUAUUAGGAACUUUAGGUACUUUUCCACAACAUAGCCUAGCCCAAAAAACAGGUGUUCUAAGGGCUCCCAGGGCUACCUAGCCUAGACAUUUCAAAAAUAAAAAACUAAUGUGUUUCAGACAGAAACACCGGAUGCUGGGAUGUAGUUCACUUGAAAAUAAUUUAUUUUAACGCAGUGAAAAUGUUUAAAUUAAUUCUCUCAGGACUGCCUAUCUAUAUUUUUCUACCACUCGUCAAAAAGUCUGUCUUGUCGCUUCCUUCCGUGUCCAACCACACAAUGUCUCAGAACUAGAGCACUUGGUCUCAUCACAGGCGCAGCCGGGUAGCGAAACCGUGCAGUGCAUCCUAUCACAUUACUACAAUAAAGUCUAAAUAAAUACUGCAGCCUGAGAGAAUCAACAACAACACAUCAACCCGAAAUAAUUCUCAAUUAAACUGUUUAGGGGAAUUUAACUACUCACCUCUCUAACAUCACUUUGCAUCGCUUCAGUGGUACAAUACUUUAGGAAAAUAGUCAUAGUCAUCAUUAAUUGUGAUACUUUCUUUUAAUGUCUUACAGGUGAAAACGACGUCUCUCUGGAGGAUAUUCUUGUUUUCCUCACGGGAUGUGACAGUCCAAGCACUGGGCUUCUCAUCAAAGCCAAGCCUUGAGUUCAUCACCCAUUCCCGAUUUCCAUAAGCAAAUACUUGUUGUGCAAAUAUUCUUUGCAUUCCAGUUCAUGCAGAAUACACUGCUUUCAAAUGUGAUAUGACUUUUGCCAUACGCAAUUCACCAGGAUUUGGAAGAGCGUGAGAGGUAAUAUUAUGGAGGGCUGUUGGAGCUCAGUUAUGAUGAGGAAAUUUGUUUAUUUGUUUUUCAAAAAUAAUUGUUGUCAUUUAAUCUUUUUCCUAGAGAAAGUAUUGAAUAAAGGCAUGAAGAAAUAUAAGUAGAAAUGUAAUAUGUUACUUUUGAAGCUAUAUUUCAAGCCAUGGUUUUUGUUUCAAAUUGAAUAUUGUGAACUUUAAGUUGAAAAUGUGUGUCAUUUAUCUCUACCCUUUGAUAUGACCCAAAGCAGCAGUUAAGUGAUUAGCAGAGAUUAUUUCCUCUAAUGGUUAUAGUAAGGCCCUCCUAAUAAAUGGUUCUACUGUAUGUUUCUACUUUGUAUGGACUGGUUCAUUGUCAUUUUAGUGUCUAUGAUGACUAGGAUAUGUGCAUCCAGUACAGAAAAACUGUAAACAAAAUGAAUUUAUAAGUCCAUCUUCACCAAUAGGGUUGAAUUAAAUUUACUUAACUAAAAGAACUGAAUACUUCAUCCACAACUAAAUAUAAUAUACAUGGCGCAUAUCCAUAUGGUGAUAACACCACAUUCUGUUAUUUAAGAAAAGCACAUUAUAGGCAAAUCUUCGGUCCUAGGAACUGAACACACAUUUAUUUAUAUCUGAGUCUAUAUGUGACAAUGUAUGACACCACAAUAAUGUAACAACUUAAUUACUGAAGCUAGUAGACUAUCUCUCAAGCAGGUCACAUGCUCUGACAAAAAGUUCAAUUCCAUGAUUUCCAUCAUCAGUGAAGGGGUUGAUGGGCCUUAACUCUUCAUUCCACUGGUGAUCAUAAGGGGGUUGCACAGGCACACGAUUGAGUGCCCUUUGAUGCUGAGUCCACCAGACCGAGUUGUGUCCUGUGGUUGUACAGUGUUCGUAUGUUUACAGACAGCAUCCGAGAUAUGGCCAUCCAGCUAAAUCCUAAAUCUCGCAUGUGAAUCAGCUGAGCAGCUGGUAUGUUGUACCAAAG